AUUGAACGCUGGCGGCAGGCCUAACACAUGCAAGUCGAACGAGUGGCGGACGGGUGCGUAAUGUCUGGGAAACUGCCCGAUGGAGGGGGAUAACUACUGGAAACGGUAGCUAAUACCGCAUACCAUCGGAUGUGCCCAGAUGGGAUUAGCUAGUCGGUGGGGUAACGGCGCACCUAGGCGACGAUCCCUAGCUGGUCUGCGAGGAGGACCAGCCACACUGGAACUGAGACACGGUCCAGACGCCUACGGGAGGCAGAAGUGGGGAAUAUUGCACAAUGGGCGCAAGCCUGAUGCAGCCAUGCCGCGUGUGUGAAGAAGGCCUUCGGGUUGUAAAGUACUUUCAGCGGGGAGGCGUUACUCGCAGAAGAAGCACCGGCUAACUCCGUGCCAGCAGCCGCGGUAAUUC
rnacentral:rRNA from 1 species